rnacentral:snRNA from 1 species
AUGCUUGCUUCGGCAGCACAUAUACUAAAACUGGAACGAUGCAGAGAAGAUUAGCAUGGCCCCUGCGCAAGGAUGACACAAAUUUUGUGGGGGAAAAAAAAUACAGCUUU